rnacentral:rRNA from 1 species
AUGUCCGGCGAGCAGCGCUGUUUGCCUCGGCCGCAGCCGGCGCUCGAUUGCUACGAUUGCAGACCCGGCUUCAACGCCGCGGUCCUCCGCGCGGCCGGCAACGAGGACCGCCUCGACUGCCGCUCCUGCCCGUUCCUCGUGGCCGUAGCGCUCACCCACGGCGGCCAUGCUGACCUGACCUCCGCCUGCGUCUACUCGUCUGAGACCGGCGUCUGGGGAGACGUCAUCUCCGUCGCCACGCUAGAGGAAGUUGAGGCCCGGCCGACGGCUCUGGUCGGAAACACGCUCUACUGGCCAAUGACCGCCGGUUGCAUCCUUGAAUUUGAUGUGGACAAAUAUAGCUUGGAUGUCAGCGAUCAUGGUACUGGAACAGAGCAAGCAGGAGCGCGCGAGGCCAAGGAUUCGACUCUUGGGCCGGCUACUCGGCCCACUCGCGACCGACAACUUCCCCAGUGGCUUGCAGGCCCGAACUGGGCCCGUUAA